UACAGAGGUUUCAAGCGUUGUUCGGAUUCAUUGGGCGUAAAGGGUGCGUAGGCGGCUCGGUAAGUCGGGUGUGAAAUCUUGAAGCUUAACUCCGAAACUGCAUUCGAUACUGCCGUGCUUGAGGACUGGAGAGGAGACUGGAAUUUACGGUGUAGCGGUGAAAUGCGUAGAUAUCGUAAGGAAGACCAGUGGCGAAGGCGGGUCUCUGGACAGUUCCUGACGCUGAGGCACGAAGGUCAGGGGAGCAAACGGG
rnacentral:rRNA from 1 species